GCCCUGUGCUGGGGCUUCUGUUGGCCCAGGUUUGCUGUGUGAGAGGGAUGGAUGUGGAGCAGCGUCCCCCAGUCCUGAGUCUCCAAGAAGGAGCCAGCUCCACACUCUGGUGCAAUUUUUCCAAAACCACACAACCACAGACUCAGCCACGUACCUCUGUGCUGGGGAGC